UGAUCUCGAGUAAAAUCUAUUUGUUCACAAAACAAAAUAUGGACUAUAGCUGUCUUUUAUCAGUUAUGCUAUCACGAUCAUCAGAUAUUGUGAAUGAAGAAUUGGCGUUGUGCUUAAUUUCUCUUCUCUUGCAGUGCAGAUUGAUUAGUAUGUUGCUUUCGAUAGAAGUAAUGGAUUCCACCGAUGGCCAGCAAUGACAGCAACCAUGACACCAUUGAAAAGCAUCCUUAACUUUGUGUGAAUGGUACAAUGCUUCAUAUAUAUACAAAGGUAAAGCCUAGAAUCAAUGCUAACUACCAACUACCAACUACGAACUCCUGCUUUGACGGGCUUGUAUUUGAGGUCAAAUCUAUGAAACUCCUUUUCCGGUUACCAGAGCUGCUAAUCAUCUGGAGCUACUUGACAAUGCUCCUGAAGUUCUGGAGUGGAUCCUUCAGAAGAAAAGGUAGGACGAAAGAAAGAAAGGGGUGAGGCCCUGCAGGGGCAGUUGGGCUUUACCUCUAAUUCCAUGUCUCUCCUCAUUUCACUAGACACUAGAGGGAAUCUGGCUUAUUGAAGUUUUGAUGCAAGAUUUUGCCGCCAUUGAUACAACAUAGUGGUAUGUAAUGGAGGUUGCUCCUAAUUUUAUCUCUUAGCGGCUGGAGGACUCAGCUUAGUGGCCCAAGACCAUUUUUGAUGUUGGCUCUGGCAUCGGUGGCAGUUCAAGUUAUAUGGCAAAGGAAUUUGGGGCAAAGUGCAUAGGCAUCACUUUGAGUCUUGUUCAGACUGCUAGAGCAAUUUACGCUUCCUGCUACUCAAGGAUAUGCUGAUGAGAUCUGUGUGUUUUUUUUUUUUUUUUAAAAUUCAUAUUUAUGCUGCUGGCUGCGUAGAAUUGAUAUAAAAAAAAAUUAAAGAAACCAAGGUGUUUUCCCCCUAAUUCAUAUUCAAUGUAUCUCCGCCUUUUUAACUUCA